CUCAUCAGACAGCACAAAAGGUGUUAAUUAGUUCAUCUAGACAGCACAGCAGGACGGUGGCCAUGGAGUCGGAAUCCGCUAAGGGAUGUGUAACAACUCACCUGCCGAAUGAACUAGCCCUGAAAUUGGAUGGAUAUGAGG
rnacentral:ncRNA from 1 species